CCUACGGGUGGCAGCAGUGGGGAAUUUUGGACAAUGGGGGGAACCCUGAUCCAGCCAUGCCGCGUGUGUGAAGAAGGCCCUCGGGUUGUAAAGCACUUUCAGUGAGGAAGAACGCCUGGUGGUUAAUACCCAUCAGGAAAGACAUCACUCACAGAAGAAGCACCGGCUAACUCCGUGCCAGCAGCCGCGGUAAUACGGAGGGUGCGAGCGUUAAUCGGAAUUACUGGGCGUAAAGCGCGCGUAGGUGGCUUGAUAAGCCGGUUGUGAAAGCCCCGGGCUCAACCUGGGAACGGCAUCCGGAACUGUCAAGCUAGAGUGCAGGAGAGGAAGGUAGAAUUCCCGGUGUAGCGGUGAAAUGCGUAGAGAUCGGGAGGAAUACCAGUGGCGAAGGCGGCCUUCUGGACUGACACUGACACUGAGGUGCGAAAGCGUGGGUAGCAAACAGGAUUAGAUACCCCAGUAGUC
rnacentral:rRNA from 1 species